rnacentral:pre_miRNA from 1 species
ACAGUGCUCCUUCCAUCCGGAAAUACUUGUCACAUGAAUGGAUGUAUCUAGAUGUAUUUUAGUUCUAUAUACAUUCAUUUUUAUACAUUUAUGCGACAAGUAAUUCCGGACGGAAGGAGUAGUAU